rnacentral:rRNA from 1 species
CGAAAGCCUGACGGAGCAAGACCGCGUGGGGGAGGAAUGCCUUAGGGUUGUAAACCCCUUUUAUCUGGGAAGAACAAAAUGACGGUACCAGAUGAAUAAGCCUCGGCUAACUCCGUGCCAGCAGCCGCGGUAAUACGGAGGAGGCAAGCGUUAUCCGGAUUUAUUGGGCGUAAAGCGUUCGCAGGUGGCGAUUCAAGUCUGCUGUCAAAGCGUGCAGCUCAACUGCAUAUAGGCAGUGGAAACUGUUGAACUAGAGUAUGGUAGGGGUAGGGGGAAUUCCCAGUGUAGCGGUGAAAUGCGUAGAGAUUGGGAAGAACACCGGUGGCGAAAGCGCUCUACUGGACGGCAACUGACACUCAGGGACGAAAGCUAGGGGAGCG